ensembl:misc_RNA Metazoa_SRP Metazoan signal recognition particle RNA
GCCAGGCGUGGUGGCGGGUGCCUGUAAUCCCAGUUACUAGGGAGGCUGAGGCAGGAGAAUUGCUUGAACCCGGGAGGUGGAGGUUGCAGUGAGCUGAGAUCAUACCACUGCACUCUAGCCUGGGUGACAGAGUGAGACUCUGUCUCAA